GCUGACUAAAGCGGAUGACUCCCUGAGAUCUCAGAACUCUGUCCCGAACUGCAGGGCUUCGGUGACGGGACACAGAAUGUGAUGUAUGACCAGCAGAGUGCAGAUGAAGCAGGACAGACUUGUAGGUCUUACUGAUUCCUCCAGCUGCUAGAGAUGAUCAUAACAUGAGGAUGGAGAGACCAGCAAGUGUUGAGUCAGAGAAGGCCAGAUUUGCGUCAAAGCUUCUUGAUUCGUUUCUGAGCCAUGAUUGAGACUCUCCAUGAUGUUCACCCAGGACAGAGGGGAACUGUUAUCAACUCCACUCCAUCGACCCCUUGAGACCUUCCUGUUGUUAAAUUGCUUUUCCCUUGGAUCCAAGCACCUGCACCUCGCUGACCAGUAGUGACCAUCAGUCCACAGUCAACUGGAUCAUCACAACAUUGACUAACUUUUUAUUUACAAUUAGGAUCUGAAAACCAGAGGACCAGCUACGCAAAAAUCUACCUGCAAACUUUAAGCAGCUACCCUGACACUGCAGUGAUCCUGGACUGGGCUGAGCUGCUCUUCUUCUCUCCUCUUCCUCUCUCCUCCAGAGUGACAAGUUUUCAUCACCAGUAAAGACAAACAAGUUUGAGUAACUGCUGGAAAGUGUAUUAUAUAUUUUCAGUGUUCAUUUUGUUAUACUGUUUGGACUUAAAAUAAAAUGUAAUCUCUUUUGUAAUA